GACCAGACUCCUACGGGAGGCAGCAGUGGGGAAUAUUGCACAAUGGGGGAAACCCUGAUGCAGCGACGCCGCGUGAGUGAAGAAGUAUUUCGGUAUGUAAAGCUCUAUCAGCAGGGAAGAAAAUGACGGUACCUGACUAAGAAGCCCCGGCUAACUACGUGCCAGCAGCCGCGGUAAUACGUAGGGGGCAAGCGUUAUCCGGAUUUACUGGGUGUAAAGGGAGCGUAGACGGCAUGGCAAGUCAGAUGUGAAAGCCCGGGGCUCAACCCCGGGACUGCAUUUGAAACUGUCAGGCUGGAGUGCAGGAGAGGUAAGUGGAAUUCCUAGUGUAGCGGUGAAAUGCGUAGGUAUUAGGAGGAACACCAGUGGCGAAGGCGGCUUACUGGACUGUAACUGACGUUGAGGCUCGAAAGCGUGGGGAGCAAACAGGAUUAGAUACCCCUGUAA
rnacentral:rRNA from 1 species